GAGGGUAGAGCUCAAGGAUAGAGCGUGUGCUUAGCAUGUAUGAGGUCCUGGGUUCAACCCCCAGUCCCUCCA
rnacentral:tRNA from 1 species